AGCCACCUUCAAGUGUAGAUGCAGAAGGAGAUCAAUGCACACCACAUCGCAACAGACAAGACAAGCCCAAAGAAUCUUUCCACCAUUUAAAAAUAUCAUGGAUCAGACUCCAGACAUUUCCACAGACCACAAGAGAGAGAAGCAGUCAAAAGCAUCAUCGAACAUCCCAAAGAAUCUGCCAUUGUUUGUAAUUCUAAUGCAUGAUUUUUUACAAAAAAUUCCUGUUUUCAGCUCUUUCCCUAUUAGUCUUUCGUUAAUUGGAUUUGAGGAGUUGAUGGAGCUAAAAGUUUUUGUAUGCCCAUGCAGACAUGAUCUGAAUAUAUGGCUAACAACAUCUAUUUUACUUAGUCCUCCUUUUUUUAUUUUUGCUUUAAUGUAUUUUGUUUUAAGACCUUUUAAACAUGAUUGGUUUCAUUGUUCUCAAAGAGAGAAUGAUACUCGGCAGAACUGGCCUAAAGCUUUAGCACAUUGUCUGAUGCCAUCUGCAAUGUGGAUCAUCAUCUUGUUACUUGAUGGUGAUUAUAUUGCUUGUGCCAUGACAGACUGGAAGGGAGUUUAUGUGUUUGAUGUUGAGCUCAACAGGUCGUGGUGUAAACCCAAUGAAGACAUGCGAAAUGCGGCAGAGCUCCGAGAUUUGAAUCGCCAGUAUAUUUAUAAAUCACAGGUUCUGCUACAAUGGGACAGGAACUGCAAGGGUCAGGGAGUUCUGCUACAAUGGGACAGGAACUGCAAGGGUCAGGGAGUUCUGCUACAAUGGGACAGGAACUGCAAGGGUCAGGGAGUUCUGCUACAAUGGGACAGGAACUGCAAGGGUUGGGGAGUUCUGCUACAAUGGGACAGGAACUGCAAGGGUUGGGGAGUUCUGCUACAAUGGGACAGGAACUGCACUGGUUAGGGAGUUCUGCUACAAUGGGACAGGAACUGCAAGGGUUAGGGAGUUCUGCUACAAUGGGACAGGAACUGCAAGGGUCAGGGAGUUCUGCUACAAUGGGACAGGAACUGCAAGGGUCAGGGAGUUCUGCUACAAUGGGACAGGAACUGCAAGGGUUGGGGAGUUCUGCUACAAUGGGACAGGAACUGCAAGGGUUGGGGAGUUCUGCUACAAUGGGACAGGAACUGCAAGGGUUAGGGAGUUCUGCUACAAUGGGACAGCAAGAUUCAAGGAGUUCUGCCUCAGUGAGACAUAAACUACAAGGGGCAGAGGGUUUUGCUGCAGUGUCAUGGCAAUUAGAGAGUUCUGAUAUAGUGCGACAAGGAAAUAAAGGGUUAGGAAGAUCUGCUCUAGCAGGACAUGGACAACAAAUGUCAGGGAGUUCUGCUCCAAUGGGUUCUAUUACAAAAACACCGGAACGGCAAAUGCUACUGCAAUUUCCAUAGCAACUUAAAAAAAAAAAAAAAGUGAAAGGCCAUCUACUAACAACAGACCAGUUAUUAACAAAUUGAUUUCUCUCUAUCUUUAUUAAACAAAACUAUCCUAUGCCAUCAGAUACCAAAUGUGACACACAAGUACAUUAAACUGUUUUGUCAGAAAGAAGAAAGGAUGAUCAAGAUCCUUCAGAAGCUGCAGAAACUUUGCAUAUUUGAAUAUUUAUAUUUUGUAAUGAAUUAUAUUAGAUAAACUUCUGAACUUCAGAUAAAUAUAGGCAGAUAUUUUGCAUGUGCAAAUUUUUUAAAGCACGUCUCUUUUAAUGGGAAAAUACCUUUUUGUGAAAUGAUUUGCUUGGAAUAGUCUGUUUCUGUAAAGCAUGUUUCGAUGGAGGGGGGAAAAAAAAGGAUAGGGCCGGUUCUAGACAUUUGGAGGCCCAAGGCAAAAUUCAUGUUGGAGCGCCCCCACCCACAAUAAAAAGCACUUGAAACAAAUAUGAUUCCUAACCUUUGUAUUUAUACAACAUUUGCAUUGAUGCAUUGCAUAAACUUACUUUUACGUACAUUUUUACGUAUACAGUACAAUUCAAAUGUAGCACCCUCUUCCUCCUCAGGGUGGCUUACCUGAGCACUUAGGAUGGGCACUUGGGUUCGAUAUGGGACAGUCUCUCGACUAAAUAAACUUAGGUCCCUCUCCUCAAUCACUGAUUAGAAAGUAAAGAUGUUAACUUUUAAAAUUGCCCUUAUAGGUCAAAUUAAAUCAACCCAAUGAAACCACUGAAACCCUUU
ensembl:lncRNA